rnacentral:lncRNA from 1 species
CUGGUUUUGUCUUAAACACUUUAUGCACAGGAAAUUUGAAGAGGACAAAUGGGUAGGGAGUACAAAUGCAAAGGUGGAAGCUUUAAUUCCUGCAAUGUCUCCUCCUCCUCCACUUGCCCUAUAUUUUUCAGGGUUCUAAAUGUGCUCUUCUGGCUUCUCUAAUAGCUAAGACUUGUUUUUUUUCUUUCCUUCUUCUUCUUCUUAUUUAUUUAUUAAUUUGAGUCAACAAAACCAGUUUUAAAAACUUGCUGCAGCCAAAGAGGGUACAUCCCAUGAGGAAGCUUAAAGUGUCACAGGAAAAGGCUGUUAGAACAGGCUUAUUAUAGGGAAGCCUUAUGGUUAUAGAGAGAUAACUUUGAGGGGGUCUAAAGAAGCAAGACUUACUUAUGCAAUAGGUGAGAUCAGAAAAUGGGGACAACUAUGAUUCUUAACAGGGCUCAGGAGACUGUGAAGAAGGUAAUAUUUAAAUAUAUGAGGUAGGGAUUAAGUAUUAAAAUCCCAUUAAGUGAUCCUGAUAAAUAGACACACACUGCAACACAUACUGACUCUCCCACACAAACAUAUAUACACACACACAAUGAAAAUCACUAGUUGAUAAAUAUUGAUGACUCUCAAACCUUCUUGAAUAGCCCACCAAUUUUUCAACCACUGACUAAUUCAAACUUCAGAUACAUAAAACACAGCUCAUUAUUCCUUAGUCCUUCUGAUAUUUUCUGUCAUGCUGAAUGAUAUGAGACAUCAGGUUCACACAGUUUCUAACUAUGAAGAUCUUACUCACUCAACUGCCCAGAUCCAAUCUACCACCAAAUCCAAGCAAUUCUUCUUCAAAUCCAGCCCUCCUUCUCUUCCUCAUCGCUACUGCCCUAACCUAAGAUUUCCUACCCUCCUAAAAAUAACAACCUUUCCAAUGGCUAGUUUAUCCUCUGCAUCAUCACUAAUUUUCUAAAAUUUCAUUCUAUUUUCCUAAAUAGAAUAUAUUCAUAUUCCCCUUUGUAAACACCUUUCACAAUCCCCUGUUUCCUUUAGGAUAAAUGCAAAACCUCAAGUAGCAUAAAGAACCACCUAUACCUUCAUGAACCCAUCUUUUUUAUAAUUUUAUCUUUCCCCAUUACCUGCCUCCUUCCCAUAUUUCAGGCCUGCGGCUUUAAUACACUAAACUUCUUGUCUUUCUAUAAGCUGACCACAAGUAUUAGAGGUUCCAUAUCAUUUAAGUUCUACUUUCUCUGCAUGGAAUGCCUUUGUUCACUCAGAAAACUCAUGUUCACCUUUGAAUACCCCACAAAAUUCUUUACUUCCUCAUUAAAAUCAUUCCCCGCCCCUCUUCUGGGUCUCACACUACUAGUGGGCUUCUCCAGGCCCUGGACUCACCUUAUUCUAAGCUGUCUUCACAUACCCAAGCUCAGUAGGCACUCAAAGCACUCAGUGUUUGAGAAAUGUGAACUAGGAAGCUAUAUAGCUAGUGAGGUCAUAGUAAAAAAUCUGUAAGAAACCAAACAACAGUGGCCAAAUGGAGAAAAAUAAGUGGUCCUGACAGGCUAGGGACAGUUUUGAUGAGGGACACAUAAACAGAAUAAAGAACAGUAUUUUUAUACUUAGGAGAUUUGAAGGUUGAUGGUUCACAGACCAUACUAGAGAAUUAGGGGGAUAUAUUCUCUUUUAUUAAACUUCAAUCUAUGUGAAAAUUUUCAAAUAAUUCUAGAUUUAAGAGGGCACUUAGGUAAAAUCAUUGCCCUGACAGCUUCAAUUGUAGUUAUUACUAAAAACAAAGCAUCCUGGCCUUCAGAACUUCUCACAUGCUGGGAAUAUAGCUCAAUUGGUAGAGUGCUUGCCUCGCAUGAACAUAGGACCUGGGUUCAAUUCCCAGCACCGCAAAAAAAAAAAAAAAAAAAGCAAGCCAGAACUUUUCACACUACAAGAUAAUAAUUAUUUCAUUAGAUUCUAUUUUCUGAACUUGAAAACUGGAUAUUACAGAAGAAAAUAUCUAAUGCCAGGGAGUUGCCAGAUGAAUUUCUUUAAAAGGGAGUUUCAUAAUCAGGCUUAACAGGCUUAAUAUUUUAUGUUGUUUUUAUAACUCCUGCCCUUUUAUUCCUCAGCAGAUUUACACAAUGUCAUUUUUUUAAAAGAGAGAGAGAGAGAAUUAUUUUUAACAUUUAUUUUUCAGUUUUUCGGUGGACACAACAUCUUUAUUUUAUUUCUAUGUGGUGCUGAGGAUCGAACCCAGCGCCCCACGCAUGCCAGGUGAGCACAUUACCACUUGAGCCACAUCCCCAGCCCACAAUGUCAUUUUUAAUGCAACACUUCCAUCUCAUGUGCAAGUCUUCUCCAAGUCUGAAAUCAAUGAUAUCUUCAUCAUCAAUCCAACAAGUAUGUGUACUUGCCUAUUUUCCUGCAUGUAAUUUAAUAAUUUUGUUGGAUAGGCAAGAUAGCAGAUUUUUAUAAUUUUAUAUGAAGUCUCUUAGACUCUGGGUUUGAAUCCCAGUGUUGUCGCCCACAACAUGUGCAAACAUUACUUACCUUCCUCGGUUUUCUGACUUUUAAAAUUAAAUAUUUGGCAUGUCCCACAAAACCUGGUUCUGCUCUAAUCUUAGAGUGGGUAUAUCAAUAAAUGUUAAGUAUUAUGACAUUAACUGUUAUUAGUAUCGCUUAUAUAGUAAUAGUUCAGUGACUUAUAUCUCUUGAGUAUCUUUGUUAAUGAUAUCUGUCUUAGUUUAUAAAUGGAGGCCAUUAUGGGGGUGGAAUAUACAUCUAAUCAAAGGGUUUUUUUAACCUUUUACAAAUUUAAAAAGAAAACAUUUUAUUGAGCUAUAUUUUACAUACAUCCCAAACAUCCACUGGUUUAAAGUGUACAAUUCAGUGGUUUUCAGUAUGUUCACAGAACUGUGCAUCCAUUACCAAACUCUAAGAUAUUUUUAAAACACCCCCUCAAAAAAAAAAAAAAAAAACCUGCUUCCUACACUCUUCAUUCCAUCCCCAGCUUCAGGGCAAUUCACUAUUCUAUUUCCUGUCUUCAUAGAGUUCCCAGUUUGGGGAUGAAUUCCCAGUUUUCAUAUGAAUGGCUAAUAUGGAAUGUGGCCUUUGUGACUGGCUUUUUUCUUAGCACAAUGUGUUCAUAGUUUAUUGCAUUUAAGCAUGCAUCAAUACUGCAUUCCUUUUCAUUGUGGAUUAAUUUUCCAUUGAAUGGAUACACGUUUUGUUUAUCCAUUCAACAACUCAUGGAUAUCUAUGUUGACUCAACUUCUUGGCUAUCAGGAAUAAUGCUGCUGUGAAUAUUCACACAUAAGCAUUGUGUGUGGAUGUAUGCUUUCAUUUCUUUUGGCAUAUACCUAAGACUGCAAUUGCUGGUCAUACACUGCUGUUUAAUACUUUAAUCAGAGGUUUUGAAUGAUACCUAGCACAGAACUAAAUUCUACUACAACUUAUAAAAUGACCUUCAAUAACUUAAGACACUCCCAUCCCCUGAACAUAUCCUGAUAUUCAUUAUAUGCUAUGUUCUCCACUAUCUUUAAAGUAAUCCAUUCUCAAAUGUUGAUUGUAAUGAUCUUACCAAAUUAUGAGUUGAUCUCAGCUUGAAAUCUCAUAAAAAUAAACCAUAAAAAUGCAUAAGUAUAAAUAGUCUUUCAUGCCUAAGUAUGAUUAUGAACAGAAGAAGAAACCAUGGAUAUUUAUUUAUCCAGAACUCAGCUGUAUGAAUCCAGGAAACAAUUUUUUUCCUCUCCUACUAUUAAUUAAAAAUGUGUAUAAUCCUAAAUAUUAGAGAUAUUGUUAUAAUUAAGUUCAUUUACAAAAAUUUCAACAGUUCAGCAAUUCCAAAGAAGUUGAAAACAAAUCCACACAAAUACCUGCAUACAAAUAUUUAUAGCAACGUUAGUUGUUAUUGCCAAACUUAAAAUCAAUCAUUUUCCUUCCGUAAGUGAUUGAAUAAUCAAACUGUUGUAAAUCCCAUACAAUGACAUAUAUUAUUCAGCAAUGAAAAGACAUGGGAGUGUUAAAAUACAUACUAUUAAGUGACAGAAGCAAGUCUGAAAAGACUACAUACUGUAAUGAAAUUCUAGAAAAGGCAACACUAUACUCAGGGACAGCAGGGCAGAGGGAUGAUGGAGAGAUGAAUAGGUGGAACACAAAGGAUUUCUAGGGGAAUAUGUAUGUUCUGAAUGUCCCGCAAUAGUGUGGCUAGAUGGCAUUACACAUUUGGCAAAAUCAGUAUCACACUGAUUUGUAUACACUGGUAUUAAAAUAUUAAAUUUAUAUUUAGGUAUUGUUUUUAUUUAUUUGUAAUGAUUACAUUUCAAUUUUACUCAGUAUGCAAUAAAUCUCAAUUUUAAUUCCUUGUCAGAAGCAGAGAAAUCAGCAGAUUUUCUUAAAGGAAUGUUGUUUAUAAGACAUAUGUGAACAUGUUAGGAUGAAAAAUAAAUUAGAAAAUUUCCUUCAAUAACUCUCCUCAUUUGUACCAGCUGCCUGAUAUUUACAUAUCAUUACAUUGUCAUAUCAAGAAUAAAACUAAAAUCACAUAAACAGUAGUAUAAGCCAUCACUAAUAUGUAUUUUCCUUAAUGUAGAACAUGGUAAUUAUCUCUGGUAUUCUCAAAAGUAAAAGAUAUGUCAGCAAAGGAGCCACAAGGCAUCAACUUUUCCUUUAAAUUUGUAGUUUACUAUAUUUAACAUGUCUGUGUGUCAAUGAAUUUGUUUUAUAGGUAUUUAUUAACUACUGACACAAAAAAUGUGUAGAAAAAAAUAAAGUAUGCUAAAGGUAGCUCAUCCAUUAAAAUAUUAGUAGUUCAUUUUAAAGUGCUUUUACUUAUGCUACUUGCAUUUCUGGAUUCAUUUUGCUUUUGUUUUGUCACAGAACUUUGUACUCUUGACCAAUCACUUAGGAUAUAAGACGGUGACAAUGAACUAGAUGUAAUGUCCCACCCGUCAAAAGGCAAUUAUUUCUCCAGCUGAUAUUUUUUUAAGUUACUGAAGAAGCACUUUCCAUCUUCAAAAAACAAAGACAAGGAGAAAAACAAUGGUAAAAAAUAAAGGAAAAGAAAACACAAAAUAGUUCUAGAAGUUUUAACUCACUAAGUACCUUAAUUAAAUUAUGCACUAUGACAUUCAAAGUUUAUAACAUAAUUCAAAAUUUAUAACAUAAGAUCUUUAGGUAAAUUAUAUUUAUAUAACCUAAUUUCCAAAAUAAAUAAUUCUUAAUGAGUAUUUAAAUUUGAGAGAAAAUGUGAAGGUUUUUAUUGUAGACCAUUUUUAAAAAAAUUAAAAUGUCUAGAGCAAUGCCAUUUCCACAAUAUAGCAUCCUAGCUGCUGAUGAAAAUCAUAGUAGUGGGCUGGGGUUGUGGCUCAGUGGUAAAGUGCUCACUUAGCACAUUUGAGGUACUGGGUUCAAUCCUCGGCACCACAUAAAAACAAAGAUGUUGUGUAAAAAAACAAACAAACAAACAAAAAAUGAUAGUAGUGCUAAUACCAAGGUCUGCCUUAAAUAAAUUUGUUCACAUAUAUUAAUUUAUUGUUUUUGGACAUUCUUUCUUUUAUUUUACUUAUUUCACUCCAUUCACUUCAUUCAAAUGCCUAUAUAUUUCUAAUAGCUCUCCAUCUGCUAAUUUCUCUUUAUUCAAAGUAAUAUUGUUUAUGAGCUCCUUAAGAUCCUUUGGAACAUACUGCCUAUAUGUUAUACUUGAUUUCCAUAAGGAAACAUUAGUUUUGAAAAAGUAAAAACUAUUUUUAAUGUUUAUAUUGUAUCCUACAAAGCAGAUCUCCACUGAAUAUUUUAGUGAAGUAUGCUACAGUCUACCAAUGUUCUUUGGUUCAGUAUAAAUGAUAUGGUAAAUUUGCAUUCAAAUUCAUGGAACUUUUCAAAUCUGUUUCCCAUUUAGCUGGCCAGCCAAAAACAAUAUUUUCAUUUGUAAACAGCUGUUUCAUAAUCAGCUCUUUUGUACUAUGUACAAUUCCAUAAAAUACAGAAAUUUUUAUUUAAAAUACAGGAAUUGCAUUAAUCCACUGCAAAUCAUUGAUUAGUUUUGUAUACUAUCACGUAGUUUAGCUUAUAAGGAAAGAUUUUAAGAAUAAUUUAAUCUUAUGUCCAAAUAUAACAUUACUUUAAACAUGAGGUCAUCUAAACAUCUGUCUCCAAUAUAUCACUGGGGAUUUAAAUCAAAAGUCUGCUAAACAUGUACAAUCAUUUGAAAAUAAAUAACAGGACAAAUUUUGUCUUGAUUAUGAUUAUCAUGCAUUUUAAAAGGAAACAUUUAUUUUAAUAAGAAAAGUCUGAACUAAUUUAAAC